rnacentral:lncRNA from 7 species
AUGUAUCCAUCUGUUUUGCAAUCUUCUCUGCCAGCUUCCUUAGCAAAAGCCAGCAUCUCAUCUGACAUCACCAUAAACAAAAAUGGCAAUUGGAGGUUCUCUGGGCUGGGGGACAUCAGAAGGCACAGUUCCCAUGGUGGCUCUUUUUCAGCUGAGGUGGAAGGGUUGACCUGCCAAUUGUGGGGAAAAUGCAACUUGCAUUCAAAAUAUGAGCAGCUAAUUAGAUCCUUUAUCAACAGCAUACCUUGGUUUCUAAUGUAUUUUAAUCUAAAAUGCCUGCUUUCUCCCACUAGCCUUCUCCUUUGCAUGAAGCUGGGGGAUGCAGGGACUGACAGCACAGCACAGAGCUGCCUGGGAUUUGGGUUUGCGUAUUUGGUCACCAGAGGUCACAAUAAGCCAGAGGCAAACGCUGCUCACAAUGCACAACUCACCUCUUCCCAACCCAGUUUCCCCUAUGAAUAUACUAUGAAACCAACCAGGUGCUGUGCUUAUAUGUGGCACGGUUACACAAAAGGUGGAAGUUCUUUAUUUAGCCGUUAGAGAGGCAU